UUUUUAUGGGAAGCCCACCAAAGCUUGACCCCCUUGAAUUCAUCUGUGACUUCUUCUCGGUCAUCCAUACUGAGGACUAGAGAUUGGCUGUCUUUGAUGACGUCUGCUUUCAGCCGCUUGGCUCGGGUCGAUGCAUUGACACUGAGGUAAUUCUCAAUGGCAACAUAGGCUUCACUGCGUUUGAAGCGAUCUUCAGAGAACUCCUGGAAAGUGAUUUGAAUGUAAGGGUACACAAAGCUCACCAAUUUCUGGCUGUAUUUUUCAAUAUAGGACCGGAACUGAUGAGGCGUGUAUUGCUGAAACAUUACCCAGAGAAACAUUGCGCCAGCAACUAGUGAGCCUGGUUUAGCCCACAUCUCCCCCAUCAUCAUCAUCAUCUUCUACAAAGUUUUCAAAGACUUGUAAUAGAAUGUGUUUGUAAUGAUUUCGAGUGUUUAGUUGCCUAUUAUAUAGAGAAGAGACAGACACACCAGGUCUACCCACUUUCCUACUAUGCGUGACCACAUUUCGAGUUCCUUACUGUUUUUUUUAUAGUGGCUUGGUCUCCAAGGAAGACUACCAUUGUCUUCUACCAGCAGCCACCUUUGACCAUAUUCCACCAUGGAUGUAGAGGAAUUUUUUUUUGUAAAUCGCAGCUGGAUACCCAUGCGAAAAGACAAGUCAACCGAAAAAAUUAUGUUCACGUCUCUCUCUACUUAGCGCAUCGCUGAGACAACUGAUGACGAUAUAAAUUUCGAUCUGCAGAUUCAAAUUAAACAUAAUUAUACAACAUAAAUUUAACAGGUUUAAACUAAACAUAAUUAUGUUUGAAUCAUGAAAUGUCCACAUCCCCCUCAACUAGUAAUAAUCGAAGCUCACAUUAACAGAGAUUCAAAUCAUGCAAACUGCUGCAACUCCUUCCGUCUAAUGCUAGCUAUGCACUGAAAAACUAAAACAAGGCUCAAGAUUCUGGAGAAAUACCUCAAGAGUAGAAGGGCAUUGAUUUCAACGUCUGAUCAUGCUGAUCCUUGGAUGACAUGCGGCUUCUGUUUUCAGACACAAAAACAGUUGAAACGCCAUGUGCAUGCAUGCAGCCAAAAUAGUUUCCCAAUUUUUAAUGAGGUAGGUUAUACUAACCUUUCGGGCCUCCUUAUAUAUUUUUUAAAAAUUUUCGGGAUUAAACAUAACCUCAGACUCCUCUAAACUCACAUUUGAAUUUUAUAUUUUAAGUUGUUUGGUUGUUGGAAAGCUUCAAGGAAAGUGGAAAGACAGGUGGGAAAACAGGAGAAAAUCGAAAGAAAGAAACAUUGAAGGAAAGUAAAAGAUUAUUGAAAUUUUUAAUCAAUUAUUCCUCACUUUAAAGGAAAGUUAAAAAUUAUUUAAAUUUAAUGGAUUGUUCCUUAUUUUUCUUUUUAGCAUAAAAAAUUUGAAAAAUGUUAAAGUAGAUAAAUAAUCUUUCUCGUAUUUAAUUUUCUUAUUACAUUUGUAAUAAUUUUGUAUUUUAUUUGAGUACUUUUCAUGGAGCCAACAUAAUUCAAUCAGCUGAUAUCAUCAAUUUUCUUUUCAAAUGCCUAAAAUAUCCUUAUUACAAUUAAUUUUAAUUAACAUAUAAAUUAGCUUAAUUAGUUUAAAUUAAUCAUAAUCAACAUUAAAGUAAUCUAUACAUUUAAUUUCAAACCAUUAUCAAUUAGUUCUUAAAUAUAUUUUAAUUAAACAUAAAUCAAGUUAAUUAAAUAACUAACACCGGCUUAGAACUGGCUAUCUACUUUUGUGCUUGACAUCAUCCGCCUCGUCAACUAUUCCUCUUUCAAUUAAAGGGUGUGAAAUAUCAAGUUAAGAGUCAAAGAAUGAUCUUUAAUGAAAGCUCGAGUUAGGGAUUAUUGACCAAUACAAAGGGAUUUCCCAAUAGAGAAGGGUGGGAGAGGCAACCUCGUAACAACAUUAGUACAAGAGAAAUAUGAAUAGGUUGGGGGAUACAUAGUCACAGGUAUAGUUGAAUGGUUACAACGGUGAAACUUUGUAGUUGAAUAAGAAAGUUUCGUCUCCAAUGAAGGAUUUUUUAUCUUUUUCAAUAAAACACUCCAAUUUCUCAUCUCAUUUUUAUUUUUCAAAUGUUUAUCUUAUUGUCCUAUUAUCUCAAAUUUUUAAAAUUUCUCCUUUGAAAAUUCUUCCAACUUUUUUGUAAUCUAGAAUUCAUAAAUUUUGGACUCAAAAUUUUGUUAAUUUUGGAUUAGGGGAUUUCAUUAUUUUCCCAAAUUUGAGCUUUAUAAUAUCUCUAACACUAGGAAUUCGGGUUUUUAAUUAAAGUCUCUCCAACUUUGUCCCCAUCUUUAUAUCUCAAGCGAUGUGAAUUUUUCAUUUGGAGAUUUUUUAUUUUUUUUAAUUGUUUUUAUAAUCCCAUCAUCCUCUUUUGUAUUUUAAUAUUUUCAAAUAAAAUACCUAUAAAUUUGAUUAAACGAUGAAUAACAAUAAUUCUCAAAAUCAAACUUUGUAACAUUUUUGGAAAAGCUUAACUAUUUAUAAUAGUUUUUAAAAGAUUUUAACACCAAAUAAUCAACUCUAUAUUACAAAUAUUUUUCUUAACUAAAUAAUAUGUCAAUUUCCUCUAUUUCCCUCUUAGUCUUUCUAUUUCGUGAAAUUUGAUUUCUCCAAAUAUUUCUUUGUGCCAGAAAUAUAUUUCCACAUUCCCUUCCCUUGCAAGAAAUUGUUCAUCAAAUAAGGCCGCCGGUUAUUAUUUGGUUUGUCUAACUUAACACGGACGGGUUGGGACAGAUUAGAGGAGGCCUUUGAAAAUUCCCAAGGAAAAAAAAACCCCACAGGAAACAAAAAUAUCUGACCUAGGGUCCUAAACUGAAGAGAAAAGCUACCCAAAUUAACUUAAUUUCUUGCUCAUUAACGUGAUACGAAAGAGAGUACCGCCCUCGAGCUUUUCUUUCCCAAAGCAAGCGUAGAGAUCCUUCACAUCAGGCCCACCACAACAACGAAGGAAUGAAACAAUUAUUUCGAAGAGUUGACGGCUUUGAAACCAUGAAACUUUUCUCAAUAGAAUCUUAAUUACAGAGCAUUCUAUUAAACAAUAGCAUUAAUGUACAUCACAUACACGUAUGUAUACAAUUACAUGGAAUGAUCUAAAGCCAAUAAUACAUAAACAGGAUAAAGCCUAAAAGUAAAGAACUAAAUAUACACAAUCAGAGAAAUAUUCACAGCCCAAAAGUAAAGAAAUGAUAUGAUACACAAUCAAAGAAAUAUUCACAGCCUAUGGUGUCGAUUGUGGGUCCUAGAAGACCACUCCAUUUUCUUUCACUGCUGCCACUCCAUUCUCUGUCACUCUUUCAUCUGACAUUUCCUUCUCUUUCACUUCUCCAGCAGUUGCUUCCUUCUCCUUAGCUUCUUUCUCGGCCUUUACCCUCUUUUCUUCCUCUUCCUUCUCUUUAGCUUCCUUCUCGGCCUUCACCCUCGCUUCUCCCUUGGCGGUCCCAAGGGCCAGAAUCAAAUUCUCCAAACAAGUCCCAGGAUCAUCAGUGAUGGUCUUGGGCAUCAAAUAUUCUGCAACAUCAGCAGGAGUCAUAUUGGUUUCCUCCAUCAAUCUGCGGAUGCUUGCAAACAAAUGGUGGGAGUCAAGAUCCAAGUAAUUCUUAGCCAGCACCUUGAAUGCAUCAAAGCAACAGUAGGAUAAUUCUAUGUGCUUAUCCAUCCUCCCUCUCCUAAUGAGAGCAGGAUCAAGUUUUUCCACAUAAUUGGUGGUGAAAACUAUCAGCCUCUCUUCCCCACAAGUUGACCACAGCCCAUCAAUAACAUUCAGAAGCCCGGAUAGAGUAACCUUGCUUUCAUCUUCUUUCCCCUUCUUAGUAAUUGAAUUAUCCUUGGACUCUUCGUCCUCUUCCUUUUCCUUCUUCUUCUUGCGUUGGCCUGUGAGGUCAAGCGAACAGUCGAUGUCCUCUAUCACAAUGAUGGAUUUACUCCUUGUGUCGAUCAAUAGUUUUCGCAGCUCCGUGUUGUCCUUGACUGAAGUGAGUUCGAGAUCAUAGAGGUCAUAAUCUAAAAGAUUUGCCAUGGCAGCAAUCAUGGUUGAUUUGCCGGUUCCUGGGGGGCCAUAAAGGAGAUACCCUCGCUUCCAAGCCUUCCCAAUUUUUGAAUAAUACUCUUUCCUCCUACUGAAGAUUGUGAGAUCAUUAAUAAUCUCCUCCUUCUUCUUUGGCUCCAUUGCUAGAGUCUCAAAUCUGGCUGGGUGCUCAAAGGCUACAUGACUCCAUACCGCCUUUUUGUACCCAUACCACGUAUCUCUUGAAUUGUUAGUGAAGAGCUUUCGCUGCCGAUUUCUGACUUCAAUUGCCUUCCCCUCCUUCAUUACAUGAUUCAAAUACGACCCCACGAUCAUUUCCCGGUGGUUUUUAUGGAAAGUGAGCUUGUAGUACCUCUUCUCAUCAGCAGCAGGAGCAAAAGAAAAGGUCUGCAUUUUAGGGGGGGUUUUAUCGGAAGCCCACCAAAGCUUGACCCCCUUGAAUUCCUCUCUGACUUCUUCUCGCUCAUCCAUGCUGAGAACUAGAGAUUGGCUGUCUUUGAUGACGUCUGCUUUCAGCCGCUUGGCUCGGGUAGAUGCAUCGACGCUGAGGUAGUUCUCAAUGGCAACAUAGGCUUCACUGCGCCUGUAGCGAUUUUCAGAGUACUCCUGAAAAGUGAUUUGAAUGUAAGGGUACACAAAGCUCACCAAUUUUUGGCUGUAUUUUUCAAUAUAGGACCGGAACUGAUGAGGCAUGCAUUGCUGAAAC
rnacentral:lncRNA from 1 species